UUCGGUGGCGAUAGCGAAAGGGGUCCACCUGUUCUCAUACCGAACACAGAAGUUAAGCCUUUCUACGCAGAUGGUACUUGGCUGGACACGGCCCGGGAGAGUAUGUAGCCGCCGAAU
rfam:Clostridium sp. CAG:349 genomic scaffold, scf105